rnacentral:rRNA from 1 species
GGGGAUGGCUCAUUCAAAUUUCUUCCCUAUCAACUUUCGAUGUUUGGGUAUUGGCCAAACAUGGUGGCAACGGGUAACGGAGGGUUAGGGCUCGACCCCGGAGAAGGAGCCUGAGAAACGGCUACUACAUCCAAGGAAGGCAGCAGGCGCGCAAAUUACCCAAUCCCGACACGGGGAGGUAGUGACAAUAAAUACUGAUACAGGGCUCUUUUGGGUCUUGUAAUCGGAAUGAGUACAAUUUAAAUCCCUUAACGAGGAACAAUUGGAGGGCAAGUCUGGUGCCAGCAGCCGCGGUAAUUCCAGCUCCAAUAGCGUAUAUUAAAGUUGUUGUGGUUAAAAAGCUCGUAGUUGAACCUUGGGCCUGGCUGGCCGGUCCGCCUCACCGCGUGCACUGGUCCGGCCGGGCCUUUCCCUCUGCGGAACCCCAUGCCCUUCACUGGGUGUGGCGGGGAAACAGGACUUUUACUUUGAAAAAAUUAGAGUGCUCAAGGCAGGCCUAUGCUCGAAUACAUUAGCAUGGAAUAAUAGAAUAGGACGUGUGGUUCUAUUUUGUUGGUUUCUAGGACCGCCGUAAUGAUUAAUAGGGACAGUCGGGGGCAUCAGUAUUCAAUUGUCAAAGGUGAAAAUUCUUGGAUUUAUUGAAGACUAACUACUGCGAAAGCAUUUGCCAAGGAUGUUUUCAUUAAUCAC